UUAGCCCUUGCCUGUUCCGUUUGCUGUAAGGCGUCCAAAUGCCCACUUCUCCGAUGAAUAUCUGUACAUAUAUAAACCUCAGCUCUCUUCAUUUGUUUCUCUACCAAAUAUUUUUCUCUAUUCACUGCUGAUUUUGGCUCCAGAAAAGAAAUACUUCAAUUAAUUACUCAUAAUUUCUACAUUGUCUGCAUUGAAAUUCCUAAUUUCUAUAAAUAUAUACUCCACAUUAGAGCAGCGAUUGAUGCCAAUUUCCCACCUUCUAUUGGAAUCAUCAUCGUCUCAUUGCUUAUGAAGUCUAAUAUCAUUAGAUAAGUUUUUUGUUUCAAACUUCAUUAGUACUUUUAAUAUACUCUGAAGAUAUUGGAAUAAAAUAAUGUGGGCCACCAAUGAAUACGAUAUUUAAUAAAUAAUUUUGCAGACAACAUAAUAUAUAUGCUAAUUAAGCAGUAUCAGAAUUUAAUGGGUAAUUAAUUCUUAA